UACGUAGGGUGCAAGCGUUGUCCGGAAUUAUUGGGCGUAAAGAGCUCGUAGGCGGGCUGUUGCGUCGGCUGGGAAAACCCGGGGCUCAACUCCGGGCCCGCAGCCGAUACGGGCAGACUAGAGUUCGGCAGGGGAGACUGGAAUUCCUGGUGUAGCGGUGAAAUGCGCAGAUAUCAGGAGGAACACCGGUGGCGAAGGCGGCAUCCUGGACUGGUCCUGACACUCAGGAGCGAAAGCGUGGGUAGCAAACAGG
rnacentral:rRNA from 1 species